GCCCCUUUGCUACGUGUCCUGGGUUAUUUCUUCCCUUUUCCUUUUCACAUUCGCAGAAAUAGAGGGUAAAUCUAGGGUUAAUGAGAGAGGGGUCUGGAGAUAAUCGCCGGCCACCAGAUAAACUACCCAGCGACCAUCUGUUACCGACGAUACGGCGAUGCAGCUGAUUUUCUCGACAUCUUCUUUGGUGUUGUUGUUUAACAGGCAUGUAUUCUUGCUUAUAUAUUCUAUUAUUGCUUUCAUUUUUGUUUGUAUUCGGCGAGGAUGAUGCGCUGUUGUCUCUAUGGAACUACCUGGGGUUUGUGUUGUGGGUGUGAUGUGAGUCUUGGUUUACUCUAUUUUGGAAGUUGAGUGGCCAUUGAUGUCGGUGAGAAGUCGAAAUGGAGAAUGAAAUUGAUACCUUGAGGAGGUGUAAAUGGUUUGGGAUUGUGGGUAUGUUUGUCUUCACCCCUAUUAUUCUGUUUUCUUUGGUGUUUAGCUUUGGAGUUUUGCAAUGUAAACAAAAAUAUUAUGAGUAUUUUGAAAGUGAUGUUCUAAUUUCUGGAGUGUAACCUUUUUAGGCUUUUGGACUUGCAAACCUCCACCUCCAUCACCAUCGUCGUCUCUUCCUAUUCAAUCACACCCAGUAAACGGAUCUUCUUCGGGUAGUAAUACACAAUUACAUAAUCUUGAAUAAUAACCCAUGUUCAUCUUCCAAGAUUAAAGCUUUCAUAUUGUUUUCCUUCGCAAAUCCUUGAUACUCUCUUAGGUUUUAACUUUUAAUUAAUUGUUUUCUAUGCUACUUUGUUGUUUCCAUUUGUUUGUAUGCUAUUUCUUGGAUCACGAUUGAUUUUGCAGCUAAUGUACGAAUUUUAUUCUUUAAUUUAUGGACAUUAUUAUUAUGCACUUUGGCUUCACAGAUCUGUAAUUUUGCAUUAUGCUUCUGUUAAAUUUAGGAUGCAUAUGUAGGUUUAGUUAAAGUUUUAACUUAAGAAUUGACGGGUAUCUUGGUAUACAUGGCAUAGCGGAGAAGGAUUAUUGCUGAAAUAGAAAUCGAUUAAUUUAUUGUUGUACGCCGAUUGUGUUAAUUGAUAUUGCAGGAGUUUAAAGCACCGUUAUGGAUUCCGUUGUUUCUUUUGAUUAUAAACGGGUGGUCUCCGCCGAUUUAUCGAACUUAGCUCACCACCACCGGCCAUCAUAAAAAUGAACUGCGGUGGCUACUUUGGAAAAAAAUAUCAAUUUGUUUUGGGUCUUCAUGGUGGUUGACAUGAGAGAUAGGCGGAGCAGUGACCUAUGGUUUCGAUAAAGGGAUUAAAGCAAUGGCUGAGCAGUUAUCUAGGGUUCUAACCAAGGAGUUCAAGUGAUAUUUUCAGGAAUGGGCCACAAGACGGAAGAAACUCAAUGUAGGAUGGUACUUAUGGUACAACUUGCCCGAUCCCACUGGGCAACAAUUUUACAUACAUGCUUCAAGCGAAGGAUCAGAUUGGUAGCUUCUUCUACUUCCUGUGACUUGGCCUUCAAAAGGCCGCCAGAGGCUAUGGCGGCACGAAAAUCUACAGCCGCCAUCGGAUCCGGUCCUCUUUCCUUUCCCUGCCAGAGAUCAAACUGUUCUUGCUGGUGAUUGGUAAAAAAAGGCCACCUGAGACCAAGACACAUAUAGGGCAUGGGUGAAAGCAUUUCUUCUUCUUAUGGACUUGUCAUCAAUGGGCGUGGCUUGAAUAGUUACACAUUCGAAGUCGAACAAGGUAGUUAGAAUUUUUUUUUUAUAUUGUACGAUGUUUUCAGACUUGGCCACAUACUCGGUCCGGUUGAGUCUAUUUGAACCAGCCGGAAACCGUCCAGAGUGCUUGAACCGGCAAACCACACCGGUGGCCAAACCGAUUUUUUUUGUUUUAAGUAUUUUUUUUAAUGGGGACCUGAUUUGUGUCACUUUUUGUUGGUCAUCAUACUAGCUGUUACCCGUUAAAAUAAUAAAAAAAGGGAAGCUAUUCUAUAAUAGUAUACACAGAUUUGACGAUUGUCAAGAUACAUACAUCAAUAUGAUUAUUGAUCUAUCCAACAUUUGCUUUGCCCUUAUUAAGUUAAAAAUACAAGACUUAUGGUUCAAGUAGGGAAACAAAGCUAUCCAAAUUUCGCUUCUUUAGGUGUUAACAUUCUUCAACUGCUAGCAUCCAAGAUUGCACUAGACUCCCUCAUCACUCCCUAAUCAAAGCCAGUUCGCACCAAAUAUCACUCACACAUGACUAAGAGACUGAUAGAAAGAGACUGAUGAAGGAAAUUAAGUGGCAGGCACCCAACAUAGAUUAGUGAUUCUAAUACCUGAGAAUCAAUUAAUUGUAAGGUAGUUUUACUUGGGAUGCAUAUCUAUUACACGUAGUUUCUUUUUGUGGACCCUUGAAGAACAUGCAAUUUUGUUGGGUUUGUUUGGCAUCCAUGAUGUAUGUUUUUUUUUUCAAGCAGGUUUUGAUGUCUAA